rnacentral:lncRNA from 1 species
AUGCUGCCAGCCAUGAGGGUUCUGGAUUCCUGACGGUUGCUCCAUUCCUAGGCCUAACUGAAAGGCAUUAUCAGUUAUACCUGAUGCAUGACCCCGCCCCAGCGUGGGCUCUCGCUGUGUUGGAGCCAGGCAGCCAGCUGAGCCCAUGCACACCGUCAAGGCUCUUCCCCGAGGGUGCACCCUCAGGCGCUCCCAGGAGCUUAACCGCAUGUAGUACCUGCUUGUGGCUUCUAUCUGUGUCUCUCAAGGCUUAGGACAACUCCAUGGGAUCGGUGUUGCCGAUGCCAACGGUGGGAACUAGCAAAGCAAUGAAAGUAAAGUGAAGAAUGGGAUCAGGAAAGCAAGGAGUCUUCACAAGUGACGUGGAGAAGGCUGCCAAUGCUUCCUUUCCUCGCUGGCAAGGAACUCAAGAGGCAACAGUCUGUACCCUAAUCUUAGGCCUGCCAUCCCUACUCUUGGCCAGCUGUACCAGGCUACCAGGAGAAGAUGACUCUUAUUCAGCCCUAGGAUUCCUGACUUCAUGCCAUUGCUCUGGGGAGGAGAAAAGUCUAAAGGUACAUUGUGAUAUUAUAGGGAAGCAAAACUUUAUCUUUCUUCCUUUCUAGGUUAUUUGACUGAUCUGAUGAUUAAAAUGACAUAAGACAGAGUAAGAAAAAUAAAUUUAAUUCAUGUGUACA